rnacentral:misc_RNA from 1 species
GAAAUGCGAUACUUGGUGUGAAUUGCAGAAUCCCGUGAACCAUCGAGUCUUUGAACGCAAGUUGCGCCCGAAGCCAUUAGGCCGAGGGCGCAAAUUGCGUU